rnacentral:rRNA from 1 species
AUUGAACGCUGGCGGCAUGCCUUACACAUGCAAGUCGAACGGCAGCACGGGAGCAAUCCUGGUGGCGAGUGGCGAACGGGUGAGUAAUAUAUCGGAACGUGCCCAGUAGUGGGGGAUAACUGCUCGAAAGAGCAGCUAAUACCGCAUACGACCUGAGGGUGAAAGGGGGGGAUCGCAAGACCUCUCGCUAUUGGAGCGGCCGAUAUCAGAUUAGCUAGUUGGUGGGGUAAAGGCCUACCAAGGCAACGAUCUGUAGUUGGUCUGAGAGGACGACCAGCCACACUGGGACUGAGACACGGCCCAGACUCCUACGGGAGGCAGCAGUGGGGAAUUUUGGACAAUGGGCGCAAGCCUGAUCCAGCAAUGCCGCGUGCAGGAAGAAGGCCUUCGGGUUGUAAACUGCUUUUGUCAGGGAAGAAAUCCUCUAGGUUAAUACCCUUGGGGGGAUGACGGUACCUGAAGAAUAAGCACCGGCUAACUACGUGCCAGCAGCCGCCGUAAGAC